rnacentral:rRNA from 1 species
CAGUCGCCACGGUAAAACAGAGGGUGCGAGCGUUAAUCGGAUUUACUGGGCGUAAAGCGUGCGUAGGCGGCUUCUUAAGUCGGAUGUGAAAUCCCUGAGCUUAACUUAGGAAUUGCAUUCGAUACUGGGAAGCUAGAGUAUGGGAGAGGAUGGUAGAAUUCCAGGUGUAGCGGUGAAAUGCGUAGAGAUCUGGAGGAAUACCGAUGGCGAAGGCAGCCAUCUGGCCUAAUACUGACGCUGAGGUACGAAAGCAUGGGGAGCAAACAGGAUUAGAGACCCGAGUAGUCCCUGUCUCUUAUAC